CCUACUGGUGGCCGCAGUGAGGACUAUUGGUCAAUGGGCGGGAGCCUGAACCAUCCAAGCCGCGUGAGGGAAGAAGGUACAGCGUAUCGUAAACCUCUUUUGUCAUGGAACCACGGCGGGGCCUAGUCCCCGGCUGAGGGUACCUGCAACAAAAGCAUCGGCUAACUCCGUGCCAGCAUCCGCGGUAAUACGGAGGCUGCGAUCGUUCUCCGUAUUUAUUGGGUUUAAAGGGGGCGCAGGCGGCCUGUUAAGUCAGCGGUAACAGCCCGGGGCGAAACCCCGGCGAGCCAUUGAAACUGGCGGGCUGGAGUUGGAGAGAAGUACGCGGAAGGCGAGGUGUAGCGGUGAAAUGCUUAGAUAUCGCGCAGAACCCCGAUUGCGAAGGCAGCGUACCGGCUCCACACUGACGCGGAGGCACGAAAGCGUGGGUAUCGAACAGGAUUAGAUACCCGGGUAGUC
rnacentral:rRNA from 1 species